GACAGAGGUGCCGAGCGUUAGGCGGAAUCACUGGGCUUAAAGCGUGUGUAGGCGGGCCCGUAAGUGUCUUGUGAAAUCCCACGGCUCAACCGUGGAACGGCUGGGCAUACUGCGGGCCUCGGGCAACUCAGGGGCAGACGGAACAGGCGGAGGAGCGGUGAAAUGCGUAGAUAUCGCCUGGAACGCCGGCGGUGAAAACGGUCUGCUGGGGGUUUGCCGACGCUGAGACACGAAAGCCAGGGGAGCGAACGGG
rnacentral:rRNA from 1 species